rnacentral:rRNA from 1 species
UACAGAGGUCUCAAGCGUUGUUCGGAUUCAUUGGGCGUAAAGGGUGCGUAGGCGGCGCGGUAAGUCGGGUGUGAAAUUUCGAGGCUUAACUUCGAAACUGCAUUCGAUACUGCCGUGCUUGAGGACUGGAGAGGAGACUGGAAUUCAUGGUGUAGCAGUGAAAUGCGUAGAGAUCAUGAGGAACACCCGUGGCGAAGGCGGUUCUCUGGGACGGUACUGACGCUGAGACGCGAAAGCGUGGGGAGCGAACAGG